rnacentral:misc_RNA from 1 species
AAUUACUGGUAGCUAGUUCAUAACAUUACUAGGUUUCUCUCAUGAAAUUCAAGUCCAUUAUGCCAUUGCAAUCUUAGCCUGUCAAAACAGAAGUUCGAAGCAUAUGAAUGUGAAGAGCUGCAAAAAAGGAUACUACAAGUUGAUACUGUAUUUGAUUGGAUGAUUCUGUUGAAAUUCUCUGAUGACGUUAAUGGAAUUUGGUUUCAACAUUAGAAUAGAUUCAUGCAAACAUUUGCCCAUCCGUUAAUGUUUCAACAGGUCCUCUUAGCUAUUGUAUUUCUUCUGAGGAACCAUCUAGAUGUUACUGGCUUCAAUUUUUAGAUGCUUUCUCCUGAUUUUAUUACUGGCUUCAAUUUUUAGAUGCUUUCUCCUGAUUUUA